rnacentral:lncRNA from 1 species
UAAGGUAAAGGUGAAGACUGGAGCUCCUCUGGAGAAACAGAAGCAAGCUCUCUUCUUCUCUCCCCCUUUUUAUUCCAUUCAGGCUACAACCCUAUUUGGUGGUGUCACUCACAUCCAGGGUGAUCUUCUAUCUUCAGUAAAUCCAUUCAACCACACCCAGAACUAUGCUAAUCCAGUCAGUUGGGCAUUUCUUUCUCAAAUUGACAAAACAACCUGCUGGGGGUGGGUGUACUUUUUCCUGGUCUGCAAUUUCCUAACUCAUGGGACAACCAUUCCCUUCCCAUGUGCAACCAGCUAACUUUCUCAUUAAAUGAGACCUUCUGUCCAAAAUACACUGGAAAGCAAAGCUGCUCAAACUAUGUCCAGAAUUCCAGAUUGCCUUCUCCUUUUGAGAGAUCUUCCUGAAACUCUCAAGAUGGCACAGAAAACUUUGAACAGAAGGUCUGGACUGAGCCUGAAACACUGCAACCCUAACAAUUUCACCAAUAACACUGAUCAGAGACCACAGUGUGAUUGAUGUGGGGCCAGUACAGAGGACACACUGAGGUCAGAAGGAAGCCCAGUUCAUGACUCUUGCACUUACUGGCUCAGGACAAUGCCUAGAGCAACUAAAUUCUGGCAAGAUCAAAUAAAUAAAUAUGCAAAUACAGAGCAGUGUCUGGAACUUAAUAUAUGAUACAUAAUCUUAAUUUCUUUCCUACCAUCUAAAUGACUACCCCAGUCUAUAUGUAUUAUACCUCUCAUCAUAGCUAGUUCCUUAGACUUUAUCAGUUUAUAAUAACGGUAGUUUCCCAAA